UACGGGGGGAGCAAGCGUUGUCCGGAUUUACUGGGCGUAAAGGGCGCGUAGGCGGUCAGCACAGGUCAGUUGUGAAAUCUCCGGGCUUAACUCGGAAAGGUCAACUGAUACUGUGCGACUAGAGUGCAGAAGGGGCAACUGGAAUUCUCGGUGUAGCGGUGAAAUGCGUAGAUAUCGAGAGGAACACCUGCGGCGAAGGCGGGUUGCUGGGCUGACACUGACGCUGAUGCGCGAAAGCCAGGGGAGCGAACGGG
rnacentral:rRNA from 1 species